CGCUGUUCUGGUCCCGCUCGUCGGCUGCUACUUCUGUGUCUCUCGUCUGCAUUUGCAGUUGGAGAGAGAAGAUGGACUGCAGCUACCCGAUGCAUCGUGUGUGCCUCACCUCCAUCUGCGCACUUGGACAGAGAGAUGGACUGGCGCCUAUGACGCCCUGGUCGACUCCGCGGCCGUCGCCGUCCGUGAGCCCGGGUGCACGGUGGCGCUCACAGACCUCCACCGCUGCGUUGACGCUUCAGCGAGUCCUGCGACCGAGCCGAGGGCCUCGUCCAGGUGGCCGCCGCCGGCCUCGGCCCCGCGCCUCCCGCCACAAUGAGCUGUUCCGCGUGCUCUUGGACCUCCACCGCUGCCUCGACGCCUUCAGCGAGUACCGCGACCGAGCCAAGGGCCUCGUCCAGGCGGCCGCCACGGCCCCGCCGCCUCCCGCCACGACAAGCUGUUCCGCGCCAUGCGCGUGGUCGACAAAGAUCUCUGGGCCGCCGCUGCCGGCUGGGAGAAGAAUCGCCCUCCGACCACGCCGCUGGCAGCCGAGGACAAAUAGCCCAAUCGAUCUACCUCGUCUCCUAUUCAGGUGAUGUUUAUCAUUCUUGUUUUUUUCAUGUGAUGUUCAUCGUUCCUCUUAUUUUCUCGGUUGAUGUGCUAAUCAUGUUAGUCAAAGAUGAAUGUAACUGUGACGGGAAAGGAGAGAUGGACCGGGAUAUUUUGCCUCGGUGUGUCGCAUGGUGGCCGAGAUGCGGCAGCCCCAUGCUCUGUUCUGAUGGGCCUCCUCUGCUCGAUGGUUGCCGCUGGUUGAGUUUGGUACAGUUUCCUGUUGUCGCUUGCAUCGAGCCCGGGGUCCAUCUCUCCUUCUCAUUGAGCCUACUUCUCCUAUCGCUGGCGCUUCUUCUUCUUGUCCGUCCUGUUGCUUAACCAACGUGCUUCUGCUUGCUGCCUCAGGUUGUACGAUCUCUUCUGUCGCUGCGUAGUUCGACUCAUCAAGUCUUCUCCACCCUCGACAUGCGUAGGCCAAAAAGGCGGAGACGAGUCAUGAUCCUCCAGGCUAUGGCUGCUGGUUGCAGACAACGUUUAAGCACAGGAAUCGCAAGUUGUGCCCCAUGAGGCCAGCGACCCCCACGUGGCCAGCAACUAAAGGCCAGAUUCAUUCUCGUUGAAUGUAACCUGCCUGGCAGUAAAUUAGUGUCACAUUGGUAGUUUUUGAUCUUUUAAAAUUUGAUUAACUAAUUUGGGCUCUAACAGAUUCUGUAGUUGUCUGUUGUUUCUUAUUUGCAGGUUAUCUUUAGCUUGGACGAAAAUGAAUGGACGAGCUUCAGUAUGACGAGGAGAAAGCAAUCUUGUUCAGUUUUCAUCAAAACAGAUGAAGGACAACCAUGUAAAAGUGGAGCAGUCAUGGGCCUGUUAUAGAGAUCUUGGUGAAGAACUCGUCACUGCAAUUUUGUCAAAUGGGUGUUGAGAUUGAAGUUUCUGCUUUUGUUGACUUUCUGAUAAAUUACAACAACAUCGACAAGGCAAAGUUAUGAUUCCUUGCUGUCCGAUGUAUCAUGUUUUUUAUGGUAAAGGAAUAACAAUUUAUAUGUGUGUAGGUUAUGUGGGAGCCUUUCAUAGAGCCCUCAUAUAUUUAGUUAAAUAUACUUUGAAAUAUGCUGAUCAUGCACUGGAUGUAUCUCCCAGUACUAUGUGUUGCUAAAUUCAAGCAAGCAGCUUAAUGUUAACAUAUCAGAGCCCUUGAUCGAGGUACAUGAUCUUGGCAUACUGUAUUUUCCAAACUUGCCAAGAGAUAAAUUAUUGUUCUGUCCUAUCUUCAAGUGAUUAACAUGAGUAGUUUCCUGCUGCCACUAUCAUCUUGAUUAAUGUGAUUCAGGAAUCAAGGCAGUGGUCUGCAGAUAGAAUGUAGCUACAUAUCUUAUUUCAGGGAGCAUUACACCUAUUUAGCUUAGAAGUUUUUUUCUUAUAUUAAACUCAGCAGUGUGUGAUAAUUCGAGCCUCCAUGGAAGCAUCAACCGGAUCUGGCCGGCCCACAUACGCAUGCCUCCUCUUUCCCCGGUGGCUCAUGGAAGCGGCGGCGUACGAUGAUGGCUUCCAUAUGGAGCAGAGGAAUCACAAUAGAUAGUUCUUAUGUUACAUGUCCAAAGGAGAGCAUUGUUUCACGGAAGCAUGGAUUACACCCACGCCAGUGACCAGUGAAGAAAGGGCUCAUGAACAAGAUAAAAAAAUUUCAACCAUCUUUUGUUUACAAGGAAAGACGUUUUUUGUUAAAUUAGUCUUGUCGACUUCCGUCUGUGUUAUCGUAUUCUACCUCUUCUAUUAUAUCCAAAUUACUAUAUGAUGUAAUUGACCACUCUUAUUAAGAAUUGGGCACAGUGAUUUAUGCUAUCAUUAUCUUAAGUAA